rnacentral:rRNA from 1 species
CCCUUAGAGUUUGAUCCUGGCUCAGAACGAACGCUGGCGGCAGGCUUAACACAUGCAAGUCGAACGCGCCCUUCGGGGCGAGUGGCAGACGGGUGAGUAACGCGUGGGAACCUACCUGGUGGUGCGGAAUAACCCGGGGAAACCCGGGCUAAUACCGCAUACGCCCUCGGGGGAGACCCUGAGGGGAAAGAUUUAUCGCCAUUGGAUGGGCCCGCGUCGGAUUAGCUUGUUGGUGUGGUAACGGCGCACCAAGGCGACGAUCCGUAGCUGGUCUGAGAGGAUGAUCAGCCACACUGGGACUGAGACACGGCCCAGACUCCUACGGGAGGCAGCAGUGGGGAAUAUUGGACAAUGGGGGCAACCCUGAUCCAGCCAUGCCGCGUGAGUGAAGAAGGCCUUAGGGUUGUAAAUCUCUUUCGGCGGGGAAGAUAAUGACGGUACCCGCAGAAGAAGCCCCGGCUAACUCCGUGCCAGCAGCCGCGGUAAUACGGAGGGGGCUAGCGUUGUUCGGAAUUACUGGGCGUAAAGGGCACGUAGGCUGGCUGUUAAGUCGGGGGUGAAAUCCCGAGGCUCAACCUCGGAAUUGCCUUCGAUACUGGCGGUCUUGAGUGCGGGAGAGGUGAGUGGAAUUCCCAGUGUAGAGGUGAAAUUCGUAGAUAUUGGGAAGAACACCAGUGGC